rnacentral:rRNA from 1 species
GACGAACGCUGGCGGCGUGCUUAACACAUGCAAGUCGAACGGAAAGGCCCUGCUUUUGUGGGGUGCUCGAGUGGCGAACGGGUGAGUAACACGUGAGUAACCUGCCCUUGACUUUGGGAUAACUUCAGGAAACUGGGGCUAAUACCGGAUAGGAGCUCCUGCUGCAUGGUGGGGGUUGGAAAGUUUCGGCGGUUGGGGAUGGACUCGCGGCUUAUCAGCUUGUUGGUGGGGUAGUGGCUUACCAAGGCUUUGACGGGUAGCCGGCCUGAGAGGGUGACCGGCCCCAUUGGGACUGAGAUACGGCCCAGACUCCUACGGGAGGCAGCAGUGGGGAAUAUUGCACUAUGGGCGGAAGCCUGAUGCAGCAACGCCGCGUGCGGGAUGACGGCCUUCGGGUUGUAAACCGCUUUCGCCUGUGACGAAGCGUGAGUGACGGUAAUGGGUAAAGAAGCACCGGCUAACUACGUG